AUUGAACGCUGGCGGCAGGCCUAACACAUGCAAGUCGAGCGGAUGAGAGGAGCUUGCUCCUUGAUUCAGCGGCGGACGGGUGAGUAAUGCCUAGGAAUCUGCCUGGUAGUGGGGGACAACGUUUCGAAAGGAACGCUAAUACAGCAUACGUCCUACGGGAGAAAGCAGGGGACCUUCGGGCCUUGCGCUAUCAGAUGAGCCUAGGUCGGAUUAGCUAGUAGGUGGGGUAAUGGCCCACCUAGGCGACGAUCCGUAACUGGUCUGAGAGGAUGAUCAGUCACACUGGAACUGAGACACGGUCCAGACUCCUACGGGAGGCAGCGGUGGGGAAUAUUGGACAAUGGGCGGAAGCCUGAUCCAGCCAUGCCGCGUGUGUGAAGAAGGUCUUCGGAUUGUAAAGCACUUUAAGUUGGGAGGAAGGGCAGUUAGUUAAUACCUGACUGUUUUGACGCUACCAACAGAAUAAGCACCGGCUAACUUCGUGCCAGCAGCCGCGGUAA
rnacentral:rRNA from 1 species